rnacentral:rRNA from 1 species
GGACCCGCACAAGCGGUGGAGCAUGUGGUUUAAUUCGAAGCAACGCGAAGAACCUUACCUAGUCUUGACAUCCCAUUGACCGCAGAGUAAUGUCUGCUUCCCUUCGGGGCAAUGGUGACAGGUGGUGCAUGGUUGUCGUCAGCUCGUGUCGUGAGAUGUUGGGUUAAGUCCCGCAACGAGCGCAACCCUUAUCUUUAGUAGCCAGCAUUUCGGAUGGGCACUCUAGAGAGACUGCCAGGGAUAACCUGGAGGAAGGUGGGGAUGACGUCAAAUCAUCAUGCCCCUUAUGACUAGGGCUACACACGUGCUACAAUGGUGAUAACAAAGUGAAGCAACCCUGUGAAGGUGAGCAAAUCACAAAAAUGUCAUCUCAGUUCGGAUUGUAGUCUGCAACUCGACUACAUGAAGCUGGAAUCGCUAGUAAUCGCGAAUCAGAAUGUCGCGGUGAAUACGUUCCCGGGUCUU